rnacentral:tRNA from 1 species
GGUCCCAUCGUCUAGCGGUCUAGGACGCCGGCCUCUCACGCCGGAAACCGGGGUUCGAUUCCCCGUGGGAUCA